GUAUACAUUGCUACAUAACGGAAUGAAUCAGAUGCGUGUUGUGAGAGUGACUUGCAACUUUACACGGAGCCAGGAACCAGUGUACAUAAAGACUUUCAUUACUCUGUCAGAAGGCAUGAACUGAGAUCAAAGUUUCAAAUCAUACAAAGGACAUGCAUUGUUUCAAGUCUGUAGCUUCGACCAAUUGAGUACAAAAUCUACCGCCAAUCUCCAUUUGUCUUCAUUGCUAAUGUAGUUCAGAUGGGCUCACAAUCUGAAGUUAUAUGACUUACAAUGACCUGAAGUAGAUUACAUUACUAGCUACCGAACGUUACCCAUCGAAGCGUUCAAUUGUCAAUCUAGUCGUUCCACUAGAGCCAUGACUCACUAUCUAGCUAGCUACCUAGCAAGCUAGUUAGCCAUGUAGCUACCGUUAGUUAGCUAGACAGCGAACUCACACAGUACGUCGCUAACGUGGAAACCAUCAUUUAACAAGGUUGAAAUGUUGUAUAGCUACACAACCCACAAACGUUAGGAACUGACGUUGUUCUGGUGAAAGUUCCAAUACAAUUAACGAACAAACGAAAACAUUAAACUAUUGAAGAUGUUGACUGGGCAACCCGACAACAGAAGCUUAUGUGAGAAUCUUAAUUAUAUGAAUUUUAAUAAAAACAUCUCUUUUCAAGUUU